AUGUCAGGGAAAGGGUAUGAUCACUUGAUUUUCUUUCUUUCUGGAUCUAACAGCUGUCUUGUGGCUUCUUUUCAGGGAGAUCCUGGAUUACCUGGUCCACCAGGACCCCCAGGUUUGCGAGGUGUGGCUGGGACUCCAGGCCAGCCAGGCCUGAGAGGAGAGAAUGGGCUGACAGGUCAGACAGGACCUCCAGGGGAGAGGGGUCUUACUGGCUUCCCUGGGAGAGAUGGCACCGCAGGAUCUCCAGGGCCCCCUGGACCUCCAGGGCCAGGAGGCACACAAGGCAUUGCAGGAGUGAAAGGUGACAAGGUGAGAUCCAGCUUUUGUCCAUACCAUCCAGAAGUUGCAAAAUGCAAUAAAAAGACAUAUGUUGCCUCUGCUCCAAUUAGUGUAGUGGUCGGAGUGUUGAACUGGGAUCCCUGCUCAACUACGGAAUCAUCCUGGGUGAACCUCCACCUGACCAAAUCUUCCCAAGACAACCUUAUGAUAGUUUCAAGUUUGAAACUACUUGAAGACAUGCAACAAGUUUGUUGUCUUUGCUUGCUUACAAUUUGGAUUUUCUUAGGGUUGCUAGUCCUCAUGCAUCACUUUUCCCUAGAGUUCUUUAAAUAA
rnacentral:lncRNA from 1 species